GACGAACGCUGGCGGCGUGCUUAACACAUGCAAGUCGAACGAUGAAGCCGGAGCUUGCUCUGGUGAAUUAGUGGCGAACGGGUGAGUAACACGUGAGUAACCUGCCCUUGACUCUGGGAUAACUGCUAGAAAUGGUAGCUAAUACCGGAUACGACCCUCGGAGGCAUCUCCAGGGGGUGGAAAGAAUUUCGGUCAAGGAUGGACUCGCGGCCUAUCAGCUAGUUGGUGAGGUAACGGCUCACCAAGGCGACGACGGGUAGCCGGCCUGAGAGGGUGACCGGCCAAACGGGGACUGAGACACGGCCCAGACUCCUACGGGAGGCAGCAGUGGGGAAUAUUGCACAAUGGGCGCAAGCCUGAUGCAGCAACGCCGCGUGAGGGAUGACGGCCUUCGGGUUGUAAACCUCUUUUAGUAGGGAAGAAGCGAAAGUGACGGUACCUGCAGAAAAAGCACCGGCUAACUACGUGCCAGCCGCCGCCGCUG
rnacentral:rRNA from 1 species